CCUGAUGCAGCCAUGCCGCGUGUGUGAAGAAGGCCUUCGGGUUGUAAAGCACUUUCAGUCGUGAGGAAGGCAUAUGCGUUAAUAGCGCAUGUGUUUGACGUUAGCGACAGAAGAAGCACCGGCUAACUCCGUGCCAGCAGCCGCGGUAAUACGGAGGGUGCGAGCGUUAAUCGGAAUUACUGGGCGUAAAGCGCAUGCAGGCGGCUUGUUAAGCCAGAUGUGAAAGCCCGGGGCUCAACCUCGGAAUAGCAUUUGGAACUGGCAGGCUAGAGUCUUGUAGAGGGGGGUAGAAUUUCAGGUGUAGCGGUGAAAUGCGUAGAGAUCUGAAGGAAUACCGGUGGCGAAGGCGGCCCCCUGGACAAAGACUGACGCUCAGAUGCGAAAGCGUGGGGAGCAAACAGGAUUAGAUACCCUGGUAGUCCACGCCGUAAACGAUGUCUACGGUUGGUGUCUUGAACACUGGCUUUCGGAGCUAACGCGUUAAGUAGACCGCCUGG
rnacentral:rRNA from 1 species